rnacentral:rRNA from 1 species
CCUACGGGAGGCAGCAGUGGGGAAUAUUGCACAAUGGGGGAAACCCUGAUGCAGCGACGCCGCGUGAGUGAAGAAGUAUUUCGGUAUGUAAAGCUCUAUCAGCAGGGAAGAAAAUGACGGUACCUGAUUAAGAAGCCCCGGCUAACUACGUGCCAGCAGCCGCGGUAAGACGUAGGGGGCAAGCGUUAUCCGGAUUUACUGGGUGUAAAGGGAGCGUAGACGGCAGCACAAGUCUGGAGUGAAAUGCCGGGGCUUAACCCCGGAACUGCUUUGGAAACUGUGCAGAUAGAGUGCAGGAGAGGUAAGUGGAAUUACUAGUGUAGCGGUGAAAUGCGUAGAUAUUAGGAGGAACACCAGUGGCGAAGGCGGCUUACUGGACUGUAACUGACGUUGAGGCUCGAAAGCGUGGGGAGCAAACAGGAUUAGAUACCCCAGUAGUC